UGGGGAAUAUUGGACAAUGGGCGCAAGCCUGAUCCAGCAAUGCCGCGUGUGUGAAGAAGGCCUUCGGGUUGUAAAGCACUUUUAUCAGGAGCGAAACGCUGUCGGCUAAUACCCGGCGGAACUGACGGUACCUGAGGAAUAAGCACCGGCUAACUUCGUGCCAGCAGCCGCGGUAAUACGAAGGGUGCAAGCGUUAAUCGGAAUUACUGGGCGUAAAGCGUGCGUAGGCGGUUUCUUAAGUCUGCUGUGAAAUCCCCGGGCUCAACCUGGGAAUGCAGUGGAUACUGGGAGGCUAGAGUGUGUCAGAGGGUGGUGGAAUUCCCGGUGUAGCGGUGAAAUGCGUAGAGAUCGGGAGGAACAUCAGUGGCGAAGGCGGCCACCUGGGACAACACUGACGCUGAGGCACGAAAGCGUGGGGAGCAAACAGGAUUAGAUACCCUGGUAGUCCACGCCCUAAACGAUGCGAACUGGAUGUUGGUCUCAACUCGGAGAUCAGUGUCGAAGCUAACGCGUUAAGUUCGCCGCCUGGGGAGUACGGUCGCAAGACUGGAAACUCAAAGGAAUUGACGGGGGUCAAA
rnacentral:rRNA from 1 species